UAGGGAAUUUUCCGCAAUGGAGGAAAUUCUGACGGAGCAACGCCGGGUGAGUGAUGAAGGCCUUCGGGUUGUAAAAUUUUUUUUUUAGGGAAGAACAAGUAUCGGAGUAAUUGCCGGUACCUUGACGGUACCUAACCAGGAAGCCACGGCUAACUACGUG
rnacentral:rRNA from 1 species